rnacentral:rRNA from 1 species
UACGUAGGUCCCGAGCGUUGUCCGGACUUAUUGGGCGUAAAGCGAGCGCAGGUGGUUUAUUAAGUCUGGUGUAAAAGGCAGUGGCUCAACCAUUGUAUGCAUUGGAAACUGGUAGACUUGAGUGCAGGAGAGGAGAGUGGAAUUCCAUGUGUAGGGGUGAAAUGCGUAGAUAUAUGGAGGAACACCGGUGGCGAAAGCGGCUCUCUGGCCUGUAACUGACACUGAGGCUCGAAAGCGUGGGGAGCAAACAGG